rnacentral:rRNA from 1 species
AUUGAACGCUGGCGGCAGGCCUAACACAUGCAAGUCGAACGACUGGCGGACGGGUGAGUAAUGUCUGGGAAACUGCCAGAUGGAGGGGGAUAACUACUGGAAACGGUAGCUAAUACCGCAUACCAUCGGAUGUGCCCAGAUGGGAUUAGCUAGUAGGUGGGGUAACGGCUCACCUAGGCGACGAUCCCUAGCUGGUCUGAGAGGAUGACAAGCCAAACUGGAACUGUGACACGGUGCAGACUCCUACGGGAGGCAGCAGUGGGGAAUAUUGCACAAUGGGCGCAAGCCGGAUGCAGCCAUGCGGCGUGUAUGAAGAAGGCUUGGGGGUUGAAAAGUACUUUCAGCGAGGAGGCGUUACUCGCAGAAGAAGCACCGGUUAACUCCGUGCCAGCAGCCGCGGUAAUAC